ensembl:lncRNA
CAGAAUUGCAGUGCACUGGACUGUACAGAACUGGGUAGCAUCCACACUGUCUAUGAGGGUGCGGUCCGGCUGCACUGAAAGCAACAACACUGACAGAUAGAGAGAGAGAGAGAAGGAAUAAGACAGAAGAGGAGGGAGAGAUAUCACCACAAGAGGAAUACAGCAAGGGUGUCUAAGGCAGCAGCGGACUUGAUGGCCUACUGUGAUGCCCAUGCAUGUGAGGACCCUCUCAUCACCCCUGUGCCCACUUCAGAAAACCCGUUCAGGGAGAAAAAAUUCUUCUGUGCUCUGCUCUGAACAGGACACCGGAAGGGCAGAAUUAGUCUCAUUUAGAUGACAAUGAUUUGUGUACACACAUCACACAACACUCGACGAGACACGACACAGAAAAAUAAAUCCCAAAUUAAGCUUUAAUAAAUGCAAAGUGGUUUCCAAAUUUCAGCAGCUGACAGCGCCAAAUUUACAAAAUCAUUCUCGUGAGAAUAUUUUUAUUCUCCUGUUUUUUUUGGGGAAACCUUGUUCCUUUUAAUUAAGGGGACAAAAUAACAUCAAGAUUGAUACAAAUUGAUUAGAUGAAAUCACACACUGAUACACACAUAUGCAAGCACAGUUUUUUAAUUAAGCAAAAGGUAAUAGGUGCGGGUCUGGAUAUUUCAAUGAUUUCAAAUGUUAUUAUAUUCAAGACAUUGGUUUUGUUCUUCACAUAGCAUACUAUGGUGAUUUACAAAUUCUUUAUGUAUAUUUAGAUUUUUUUUUAAAUGUUUUGUUUGAGGUGGCUAUGUACACUGGUAGACAUUUCUGAUGAACUGGUAGAGCUUUUAAAGUUUAAAUCAUGUGAGAUGAUGAGACUGCUAAUACCUACACACAAAUACCACCAGUACAUAACGCUCCUAAAGGGAUUUGUUAUGUCCUAAAACCGAUUUAAUUUUUCUGACCACUUAAACAAGAGGUAGAGGUAUCAAGUCUCUAAGAGUUGGAAAUUAGCUUAAAAGAUGAAUUAUUGGAGAAAAAUGUAAAGAGAAUAUCUGUCAAAACUUGUGGUCCCAAGUAACAGAUUAAAUAAUGCAGACAGAAUCCAAUGAAGGAAUGAAUAAAACUUUUAAACACAACACACUUAUGUGUACCACUUAUUGAGAUUAAGGAGAAAAAAAUAACUCACUAUUGUUCUUUUUGUUGUUGUUGAGGAAAUUAAUAAUUUUAUUCAGCAAGGACAAAAAAUAAUAAGUGACAUUAGGUUUAUGUUACAAAAGAUUUCUAUUUCAAAUCAAAAUUUAAAUAAAAUAUACUUUUUAACUUUCUAGUCAUCAUUCUAGGAUCACCAUUAUUACAAAAUUAAGCAGCACAACCGUUUUCAACAUUGAUAAUAAAUGUUUCUUGAGCAGCAAAUCAACAUAUUAGAAUGAUUUCUGAAGGAUCAUGAGACUCUGAAAAGUGGAGUGACAAC